UUUUUUUUUUUUUUUUUUUUUUUUCCCGCAACAGAGGAGGAAACUGAAGUUUGUGAGGUAAGUUUGAAAAUUGGCCAGGCAGAAGAGCUGAGGCUUUAAUUGCAUGAGCAGCUGAGCUGGCCAAACAGGUCACUGCCUCUGAAAAUGACACCCUGCCCCCCUGCCUUGCUUUCAUCCACACUACCCUGUGCAUCUCUUGGAGGCUGCAGCUCCUGACAGGUGCCUCUGUGUUCAGGCAGCUUCUUGUCAGGCUGAGGGUGUCACUGUCACAGUGAUGGCAGUGUUGGAUGAGCACCAGAGCUCAGCUGGCAGCUCAGCUCUGCAGUGCUGGAGACCACCCCUCUUCAUGCAGCAGUGACCUGCUAGGUCAAGUCAGGCCAUGUCACAGGACUGUGUGCUGUGCUUCAGGAUGAAAUGGGUAAUUAAAACAUUUGUGUUAACCAUUGUGCAUAACAUUGUACAGAAAUUUUACAUUUUACAGAAAUAAACUGGUCCAAGAAAACUGCUUCUCCUUUGGAGUCAGGUGUUGUAAUUUGAACAUCAAUAGGAACAAAUCCAUACUUUUGAGUGUUAAUUCUCUUCUGCCCAGAGUAGGUAUUCUGCAUGAUGGUAUUUGUUUCUUCAGGGUGUCUAAGUUAAAAGUCUCAUGUAUGAAAACCUGGCUUUGAAGUUGCUGACUGGGAAGCUGAAAGAGCCUCAGCCCUGUGGGACCCAUUUUAAGGUCUGGAUAAAUGCUGAGGGGCUAUCCAGCCUUCCAUUUUAUCUAGGAAAAGGAUGUCUAGGAAACGGAUGUUUUUAAAAGGGACUUGCUUUUUCAUUGCAGCUGUUCUGUGUGGGCUGUUGCACACCUCAGAUUAGAUCAGCUGUGUGGAAAGAGAAUUGCUCUGCCUCACCCAGCAGGGCUGUGAUUACACAUACCAUGGCUGCAGCAAGGGGGAGGGAUUAAACCUGUGGGAAACAGAUUUUCAGCUGUUUCCCCAGUUUGUUUUCAUGUUUUCUCCAAAGGAAUAAAAAAGACUGAAUAGAAAAAAGCCAAGGUUUGAAUCAAACCAAAAUCAGUAAUUUCUUCCAAACUUUGACUUGAAAUCUUGCAGAGAGAAAUGGGAAGUAAUAGCUUUGACUUGUGGGUUUGGUCCCAAUCCUUCCCUUUUCCAUGAUGCCAUACAUAUAUAUUUGUUCUACAAGGCUACUGCAGGAUUUCAGAAAAUAGUUCCAUUUUUGUUAAGGUAUAGGCUGUAGUUCAGACAAGGUUGCUUGCUUUUGGAGGGGGAGAAAUAAAAUUCUAUUUCUCUCCUGUACUACUGCUUCCUUGUUUGAGUAUUCUUAUGCACACAGCCAAACUACAUGCUAAGGUAAUUUCAGUUCAUAUGUGUUCAACUGUAUGUGCCUAUACAAAUGGUGACUGUGAAGCCCUGACUUUCAAAAAUCGUGCUUUAUAAAGGGAAGAAAUUAAAAUCUGCAAUAUUAAUUAUUAUUUUAAUCAUCUUUUACAAACUAUUAACUGGAGAUUGAUUUUUAUUCUAGAAAGGCUUUGGGUUCUUACUGCACCAUUUUUAAGCUGUGUGUAUAUUUUCUUAGUCUGUAAAAGUGAGUCUGUGUCAAUACAGUAUUUAGGUCUAUUUAAUGAAAAUAAAAAUCAAUUUUUACUCUUUAGCAGCUGGCAUCAAUCUUGUCCCCUCUCUCCCCUCCUAUAACCUUUAGUGCUAAACAAUGUUCCAAAAGGAUAAUUUAUAAUAUCACCUAUUUUGAUUCUAUGACAUCAUUCUGUCAUGGCAAUGAAGUGAUUUACAUGGAAAAAUGUAUUACCUCUGCUUUUAGACAAAAUGAGUUUAUGAUGAUUAAUGGUUUUACUGCAAGUAUGACAGAACCUGGAAAUGGCCAGCCUUUUUAAAGUGAAACAUGACUUAUGCUCAAUUUUCCUCCUUUUUGGAGGAAAAAGGAAUGCUAUGUCCUUUUUAUUUUCUUCAGUUAUUGUAAAGCAGUUUUGGUUUUGAGUAAAUUAAAAUGUAAAAGUUAUGUCUUUUAACUGAAGGAAGCCAUAGGGUGUCCAUGGUAACAUCAUUGCAGAAAUAGAGACAAAAGGGAGAAAGAAAUCAGCUAGAAGCACAGAGUCUAAACUAUCGUGCUGGCAGGGGAUUUGGAGCACAUAUUCCAUGAGGAGUCAAAGCCCUCAAGGAAGGCACAUGUUUAGUUUGGGAAAGAGGCUGCUAAAGGAUGACCACCUCCCUCUGUCCCUGCUGCUCACCUUUCCUAUGAUUCUGUAACACAGUUGACUUUGGGCAGACAACUUAGAGUACAGAAUGGUCAUAUGAAUGGUGAAAUAGUAUUUUAACAGGAAAGCACGGAGCAAAAAAUAUUUUCUGAUACAUGCCUUAAAUUGACAUUUGAAACAUUUCCUUUAACUUCAUACAAAGCUAUAUUUUUCCUUAGAUAUCAUAUAAAUAACAAAUUAUACACCAAGGCCUAAACAAAGAUGAGAAGAUGCUGAUUAAGAAGUCUGAAAUAUUUUAUUUACAUAUGUUAACUGAGCUAAAACCCAAAGGCCAUUAAGGCAAAAGCUGUUCCACUAUGGAAAAACUUAAAUUCAGGAAAAAAGUUAACAGUGGCAUUUUUUUCCCAGGGGCCUUAUGGAACAAAAUCACUCUGCUAAAAAGAAGGCAAAGGUUGAGCUGAACACUGGCAAUUUAAUCUGCAUGGAGACUUUGUAUCAUUCACAAGAUGUAAUAUUUGAGAAUGAAUAAGUUUUGUAAAAUGGAUCAACUACAUGUCACUUACUGGACAUUUAAUCCCAGGCUGUGAUGGAUACCAGGUGCUGAGCAUUGUUCUACUGCCUCAAUGGAGCCUUGGUGCCUUUCAGUGUGUGGAAAUGUGUAAAAUGAAGUAUCAGAGGAAAGGGAAAAGUGGAUGAAUUUACAGGCAUGGCUUGUCCUUAGUGACAUUGGACACCUGUCUUUGAGGGCACACUUGGCAAUGGAAAAUAACUUGCUGUUAUUUUCCAUUGACUUUGAUUCUGUACAUGAAAAGGCAUUUGCAAGUAAAGCAAAAAUGUAUUUAAGGUAGUAAUUAAAAUACACAAGUCAUACUAACAUUUUCAGGAAGACAGCAGUAUCACAACAAGCAUUUUAACUGUGUUAUUUUUAUUCAGAUGAUUAAUCCAAGUUUUCCAUUAGGCAUGCAUUGAAUUUAGCAUUCUACUGCAGUUCCCUAUAUGCAAUCUAGAAAUUUCAGCACUGUCCCUCAUUGACUUCUGCUACCAGUACAGGCUCUUGAGAGCUCUUCAAGACUGAACUGUCUUUCCUGACUUACACAGCUGUUUAUCAGGAGUCACGUCCUGUUAUUCUUCCAUUCUUUGUUCAAAUGGCUCAGCUUUUCCUUCGAUACAAGUAACUAUUUUUUCAUCUGGCUAUUUGUUUUCUAACACGAAUUUCCUUGGAGGGAGAGCUAGAAACAAGUGAAAGAAGGUUUAACAUCUUAGUAGGCAGUGCAGAUACAAAAGGAUAUUUUGUUAUUUGGCUUACCUUUGCUUCAGUCACCAUUUGCUCUCAACAGCAAUUGUUUGAGUCUGCAUGUACAUAGUGUACAUUUGUAGUGUUGUUUGUUUUGGUUUCUAUAACUAGAGUGAAAUUUGUAUGGAGCUAAAUCAAUAGUUGAAUGCAAUUUACACCUUGUUUUCCCUGUUCUAUCAGAUGGAUCAGGUGGUGUCUCUUAGACUCUUCAUGUUGCUGAUGCUGAAGUCUCCCAGGGACCUGUACUGGAGCAGUGUUUCAGUGUCUGUGUGACAAGCCCGCACACUCUUGCCUUUAGUGACCAUGAGGCAACUGGGAGAUGUGUAGAACUGAAUCUGAUUUUUCCCCCUAGUCUGAUGUUUCUCUAAUGCUCUGGGACUUUUCCAGAAUCCCACAUGCUAUGUCAAAAUUUAGCCAGCCAGAUGGCUGCAUGAUUUCUCUUGUAACUGCUGCUUUGCUAGAGGCCAGCCCCUGUGAAUUUUAUCUAUCACAUCAAAUUUCUCUGGUUGAAACUGUCUCAAAAUACAUUUAAGAUUUGCAGUGUGACUAUUUGGUAGCUGAGAAGAUGGGUCCUGUUGGCAAGCACAGCAUUUCCUUUCCAGCAAUCCUGCUGCUGGUUGCUAGGUUGUGAUGUGCCAUGUCACGUCCAUUCCCUCGAGUCACUGCCCCACUACGUUGCCAGCAAGCAGCUACAAGGUUUUCAGGACAGUCUGAACUGUAGCUAUAGCCAGGACGGAGGCAGGGACUCGUCCUGCAGACCAGUCCCAGCCACUGUGCACAGGGAUCUGGCACUCUGCAUUCUCUAAUGCAAGAAUGCUGGUGCUUGGCUGGGCUGGUUGAACAUAUGUGAUGGUGGUGGCCUUGUCACAACCUGAAUGAACCACACUGGUACUCCUCGCAGUGUUAAAGAGGCGCUCUCAUAGUCCAGGCUUAGAAUCCAGCUAAGGCCACCUUCUUACACACUGCUUAAAAUACUUGUAGAAAUAAGUUUAUAUUGAAAGCUCUGGACUGAUCAAAGAAAUUUUGAUUGAAAAAGUUCUAGAAAUUUGUAUUAAUAUGCUUAUUCCUAAUUUAGGUAUGGAUGAAGGUUUUCUGUGGCUGAAAACUUAGAAUUUCAAGAGAGAGCUGACAGUCCAAGAAGAUGAGUCCACUUGGUGGUGACUGGCUUCUGAAGAAAUAAAAAAGGAAACACCUGUAAAUCACACUAAUACAAAGGCAGCAUGGAGUUAUAAAAUGGAGAAGGCCUGCCUUAGAAACUCCAACUGAAAAUAUAAGCCUAAAUAAUUGUCCUUCACAGGGAUCAGAAUAACAAAGUACAGUCCCAGCUUAAAUGUAGGUCAGCUGGGUUUGUGUUCAGGUAUUUAUGGGUUUACAAAACAAAUUAAUAAUAUGGCUGUUUGCUAAUCAAGUUGUUUUCCUCAAGACAUAAAACAGAACAUUUCUUAUAGUGCCAUCAGCAACAUUUUGGGGAAGAAAAGUAAUAGAUGACAUAACUGGAAAAAAGAAGUCAUUUUGAAGUCAUGUUUUCUUAACAAUGUGAUCCUGCCAGAAAAUUGAAUGCCUUAUUUAAUAGAGCCAUCAUAGCAGUACGGUACAUUUCCUGUAUUGUAUGGGAGCUUUCUCUUUUUAAAAAUUUUUUUAAAGCAAAGAAUAGAUGGUCCACUGCUGCUAAAUAGAACAUGCAAGCACAGUACUGGCACACUCACACUGCAGCUCCAUGGAAAUGAUCAGCAGCCCAGUGCCUCACCUGUAGCAGCAGUAUUUUACCUGUGGCUGCAGAAGAGUCUCCUCACCUGGCUGGCAGAGGUGCACAGUAUCUACCUUGAGUUUAUGGAAAAGAUUUACAGAAGGAAAACAUUUACAAAGCCCAACCAACAAUGCCACACAGGUCACUGCAGAUCCAGUCGAUCUAUACUCACACAUAUGUUAUUCUGCUUUUACCUAAACAUUUAACAUGUAAUUACUGGAGUGAAACUUGGAAGUUGUUUACAGCUUUUAUGUUUCAAAUUUAGUUUUGUUAUUUUUCCUUUUUUUCUAGAUUGUCAUAUUUGUUUCUUCCUGUAUAGGAGUGGCAGAAUUACAGAGGAGCAUUAAUCCAUACAUUUAUGCACAUCUUUUACCCAGAGGAAAUUCCAGAGGAAACCAUCAAAUCCUGCAGAGGUACCAUCAUUACUGUCUGUAUAUGGAGAGUUCUGUGGCUACAGCUGCAGAACAGAGCAGUCGAUGUGUGCAGCAGUCAGUGCAACAAGGGCUUUGCUCUCAUGGAGCACAAGUCUCAUGGAUUGCCCAGCUGUUUCC
ensembl:lncRNA